GGGUGGAUGUCUCCGCUUCCUAACCCCCCCCGACAAUGAGGGGGGAACAUUGUAGCUAAUCAGAGGUUUGAUUUAAGUUACUUCAUAGAAUUGUGCCUGCAGUAGUGAGAGUUUUACGGUUUUGUUUUUGUCGUGUGUGCUCAGAUCGUGACCAUCCACCAGGAGCCGUUUGUUUAUGUGAAGCCAACAAAGAGCGACGGAACGUGCAAAGAAGAAUACACUGUAAAUGGAGUCCUGAUAAAGAAAGUGAUCUGUACUGGACCCAACGGGACCAUACCAGGUCAACCCAUCGUCCCUCAGUGCUGCUAUGGCUUCUGCAUUGACCUGCUCAUCAAGCUGGCUAUGAGCAUGAACUUCACCUAUGAGGUGCACCUGGUGGCUGAUGGGAAGUUCGGCACGCAAGAGCGGGU